CGGGACGGGUGAGUAACGCGUGAGACCAACCUCGUCCCUUUCAGGAGGGGAUUACGGUUUAGGAAAACCGAACGACUAACUACCGCAUGACGACCCGGCAUCACAUGGUGCAGAGGUCAAAGGAGCAAUCCGCUGAAAGAUGGGCUCGCGUCCGAUUAGAUAGUUGGCGGGGUAACGGCCCACCAAGUCGACGAUCGGUAGCCGGACUGAGAGGUUGAACGGCCACAUUGGGACUGAGACACGGCCCAGACUCCUACGGAAGGCAGCAG
rnacentral:rRNA from 1 species